rnacentral:lncRNA from 1 species
CUUAACUGGCUAAGGCAUAAAAAGUAAAUACAAGACAGAUCUAGGCUAUGUAUUAUCAGUCACUAUAUAUCCAGAAAGAGAAAGAGAGAAUGAGAGCCGAAAAGAUCUGGCUCUUCAUCACUCUCAACCUCUCGCUCUUCAAUUCUUCAUCAAAUGAAACCGUCGACCACACUCUCGCUCUUCAUCAAAUGAAACCUCGCAUCGUGUAAGUUCUCAGAAUCUCAUUUCUCUCUAAAAUUAUUUCCUCAUCUCUUUCGCUAACGAGUUUAUUCGUUUCAUGCUAGGUGCUACUCAUGCUUUUUAGGCGGCUAAUCUAGGACUUUCCCGAAAAUCUGAUUUCCGAUCUAUUCAUAGAAAAGUCCGGUGGCUUUAGAUCGUGUAGGGGCUUAUCUGGAUUUUGAAGUUAUGAUCUGCAGCGGCGGUUGCUUGGGGCUAUUUGGGGUUUCAUAUCUUGGUGGCUUUUCUGGGAAUGGGUUUGUGGAAGAGGGAUUCGUUGAUCUGGUUUUGUUUAUUCCUGUUCAUUUUCUCCAUAAACCAAAUCUUGAACUGCUUCUUUUAAUGUUAAGAUUUGGAGUUUCAUUACUGGUUCUGUGUUUGAAAUAUAUUUUAUCUAAUCGGUUUUGUAAUUUGUUCAUGGUUCCAUCUCAGUUUGAUUUGGACUUUAAUGUUGAUUUAUUUUUUAAAUUUGGCUGAUUUGGUGUUCUAUUUUGUUGGGGAAAAAUCUGUUUUAGUUUUAUUUUGUUUGAUUUGCUCGGAUAUUGGAUGUCUUGCUGGUUAUUAUCUUUUGGGGAUGAUUUGGUCUCCUCUGUCAAUUGUCGGUGUUUGAUUGGCUGAAUUCUGGUGUCUGGUUGGAUCUGUGCUACUUUUUUUUAUGCUUACCGG